rnacentral:rRNA from 1 species
UGAAAUCAAUUAUUACUUAAUAUACACAUGCAAGUCUCCGCACCCCUGUGAAAACGCCCUUAAAUCCCCCUUAGGGAUAAGGAGCUGAUAUCAGGCACAACAAAAUCGCCCAAGACAUCUAGCUACGCCACACCCACAAGGGAACUCAGCAGUGAUUAACAUUGAACAUAAGCGAAAGCUUGACUCAGUUAAAGUAAAAAGAGCCGGCAAAUCUGGUGCCAGCCGCCGCGGUUACACCACGUGGCCCAAAUUGACUUCUACCGGCGUAAAGCGUGAUUAAAGACACCACUAAUAAUGGAGUUAAACUAAAACUAAGCUGUGACACGCUUGUGCUUAAGAAAACCGUAACGAAAGUUACUCCAAUUUAACCAACU